AUUCUUAUCAGACCUUGUGGCUAAGAUUAAGUACUGUUGUAUCUAUUCUUAUCAGUUUAAUAUCUAAUAGAUGGAUCUUAACUAGAUUUUUUAAGGCAAAGGCUCACCAAAGUGGGGUACGUCACCCUAGGCGUUGUACUGCAUCCCAGGCCUGACGCACCCCAA
rnacentral:snRNA from 1 species